rnacentral:rRNA from 1 species
GACGAACGUUGGCGGCGUGCUUAACACAUGCAAGUCGAGCGGAAAGGCCCUUCGGGGUCCUCGAGCGGCGAACGGGUGAGUAACACGUGAGUAACCUGCCCCAGACUUUGGGAUAACCCUCGGAAACGGGGGCUAAUACCGGAUACGACACAGCUUCGCAUGGGGUCUGUGUGGAAAGUUUUUCGGUUUGGGAUGGGCUCGCGGCCUAUCAGCUUGUUGGUGGGGUGAUGGCCUACCAAGGCGACGACGGGUAGCCGGCCUGAGAGGGCGACCGGCCACACUGGGACUGAGACACGGCCCAGACUCCUACGGGAGGCAGCAGUGGGGAAUAUUGCACAAUGGGCGGAAGCCUGAUGCAGCGACGCCGCGUGAGGGAUGACGGCCUUCGGGUUGUAAACCUCUUUCAGCAGGGACGAAGCGUAAGUGACGGUACCUGCAGAAGAAGCGCCGGCCAACUACGUG